rnacentral:rRNA from 1 species
CCCCUGGGUCAAGAUGACGCUCAUGCACGAAAGCGUGGGAGCAAACAGGAUUAGAUACCCUGGUAGUCCACGCCCUAAACGAUGUCUACUAGUUGUCGGGUUUUAAUUAACUUGGUAACGCAGCUAACGCGUGAAGUAGACCGCCUGGGGAGUACGGUCGCAAGAUUAAAACUCAAAGGAAUUGACGGGGACCCGCACAAGCGGUGGAUGAUGUGGAUUAAUUCGAUGCAACGCGAAAAACCUUACCUACCCUUGACAUGUACGGAAGCCACGAGAGAUCGAGGUGUGCUCGAAAGAGAGCCAUAACACAGGUGCUGCAUGGCUGUCGUCAGCUCGUGUCGUGAGAUGUUGGGUUAAGUCCCGCAACGAGCGCAACCCUUGUCAUUAGUUGCUACGAAAGAGCACUCUAAUGAGACUGCCGGUGACAAACCGGAGGAAGGUGGGGAUGACGUCAAGUCCUCAUGGCCCUUAUGGGUAGGGCUUCACACGUCAUACAAUGGUACAUACAGAGGGCCGCCAACCCGCGAGGGGGAGCUAAUCCCAGAAAGUGUAUCGUAGUCCGGAUUGUAGUCUGCAACUCGACUGCAUGAAGUUGGAAUCGCUAGUAAUCGCGGAUCAGCAUGUCGCGGUGAAUACGUUCCCGGGUCUUGUACACACCGCCCGUCACACCAUGGGAGCGGGUUUUACCAGAAGUAGGUAGCUUAACCGUAAGGGGGGCGCUUACCACGGUAGGAUUCGUGACUGGGGUGAAGUCGUAACAAGGUAACCAAGGG